GAUGAAGAACGCAGCGAAAUGCGAUAAGUAGUGUGAAUUGCAGAAUUCAGUGAAUCAUCGAAUCUUUGAACGCACAUUGCGCCCCUUGGUAUCCCGAGGGGCAUGCCUGUUCGAGCGUCAUUUCACCACUCAAGCCUGGCUUGGUGUUGGGCGACGUCCCCUUUGGGGACGCGCCUCGAAACGCUCGGCGGCGUGGCACGGGCUUUAAGCGUAGCAGAAUCUUUCGCUUUGGAAGUCGGGGCCCCGUCUGCCGGAAGACCUACUCGCAAGGUUGACCUCGGAUCAGGCAGGGAUACCCGCUGAACUUAAGCAUAUCAAUAAGCGGAGGA
rnacentral:misc_RNA from 1 species